rnacentral:rRNA from 1 species
AUGAACGCUGGCGGCGUGCCUAAUACCUGCAAGUCGAGCGAACAGACGAGGAGCUUGCUCCUCUGACGUUAGCGGCGGACGGGGGAGUAACACGUGGAUAACCUACCUAUAAGACUGGGAUAACUUCGGGAAACCGGAGCUAAUACCGGAUAAUAUAUUUAACCGCAUGGUUCAAUAGUGAAAGACGGGUUUUCUGUCACUUAUAGAUGGAUCCGCGCCGCAUUAGCUAGUUGGUAAGGUAACGGCUUACCAAGGCAACGAUGCGUAGCCGACCUGAGAGGGUGAUCGGCCACACUGGAACUGAGACACGGUCCAGACUCCUACGGGAGGCAGCAGUAGGGAAUCUUCCGCAAUGGGCGAAAGCCUGACGGAGCAACGCCGCGUGAGUGAUGAAGGUCUUCGGAUCGUAAAACUCUGUUAUUAGGGAAGAACAAAUGUGUAAGUAACUAUGCACGUCUUGACGGUACCUAAUCAGAAAGCCACGGCUAACUACGUG